AGGACUGGGGAGCUCUAACAAAUCUGGGGACAACCAGGGUGGGUCUAACUUUGGAUAUAUCGGUAAUGUUUCCUAAUUGCUGGCACUAUAAUGACUGAAAGCUCCUGGGUCUUUUUGGUAUCCCAGGCCUGGGCACACAGUGGGUGGAAGAUUUCCUGUUUCCAGUAUCUAGGAAGCCUAGCUCCUGGAACCAUAUUUUAAGAAUUUGGACAGAAGACUGAAUGGUCCAGAUGAGGUAAUGCGGGAAGCCCAGCCUUAGAUGAAGGCAUGAUGC
rnacentral:lncRNA from 1 species